rnacentral:rRNA from 1 species
UACGGGGGGAGCAAGCGUUGUUCGGAUUUACUGGGCGUAAAGGGCGCGUAGGCGGCCACCGCAAGUCAAUUGUGAAAUCUCCGGGCUUAACUCGGAAAGGUCAACUGAUACUGCGGGGCUAGAGUGCGGAAGGGGCAACUGGAAUUCUCGGUGUAGCGGUGAAAUGCGUAGAUAUCGCUUGGAACGCCGACGGUGAAACAGGUUGCGUGGGAAUGUGCCGACGCUGAGACACGAAAGCCAGGGGAGCAAACGGG